rnacentral:lncRNA from 12 species
GAGCUUCUCUAGCCCCCGUUAGCUCAUCUCUAACACUGGAUGUGAGUUCACCCUUUGCCUACCUGUUGUGAGGACUGAAGCAGGCCGUGUAGACCAUGUGGGGAUCUAUGGAUUCCUGCUGGCCUCUGAGGGAUGAGGCUGAUUCCAGGACUUGAUAGCCCCAGGCCCCUCCAGAGCCAGCCUUUUUCUAGAAUCCUUCCCUUUCCACAAGCCCCAGGCCUGUUUCUUCUGGACCCCUCCAGCACUUUCUGCCUGACCACACAGAUCCUUAGCUCUUUCAUGCGUGAAAAGCUCGUCUUUAUGUAUUUUUUAUUUAAACUCAAUUAGCCAACAUAGAGUACAUCAUCAGUUUCAGGUGUAGUGUUCAAUAAUUCAUCGGUUGCGUGUAAAACCCAGUGCUCAUCGUAUCGCGUAAAGCUUGUCUUUACAAUUACAUUGUCAGAUGGUUGGCUACUAAGGACGCUCGACUGUGCCCCAGGCUCUGUCUGGAGAAGAGCAUCCCGCAAGGGGAGUGAGACAUGCUCCUCUCUGAGAGUGAAGGGACAGUGGCCAGCGCAAUCGUAUGGCUGCUCUGGCUCCCCUGGAGGUGGAGACGGGCACUGCCGCAGGUGACUCAAGGGCCUGUCUAGAGACCAGCCCCGCCACCUGUUGACCAUAGAAAUCCGCAGAUGGACACGGCUCUUGCUGGAGGAAGGCAGGGUGUUGGAGACACUGCCUGAGGCUGUUUAACCUCCAAGCGCCAGGAUGGGCUGUGUCACUUCAAAGCUCUCUUCCAGAUCCCAAGGCUUCAAGUUCCAGGACGGUAAGCACCCAAGGCCUUGGGAUUCAGAGGACAGAGAAUUCCAAGUGGUGCAAGUCCUGAGACUCUGAGAAGUGUCCUCAGGAACAGCAUCCCCGGGCCGCCCUCCUCCAUAGAAGUCACACAGCUUAUUCAAACCCAUGGGGGCGCCUCCCCUUGACAUUGGGGAAGUCAACAUUUCUGCCCAGAAGCCUCCACAGCCAACCUGUCACCAGAAAACCAGAGCUUGGCCGUGGGCCUCCCUUCUUCCCAGCUCUGCAGGGUCUGUGAGACACCGGGGGAGGGUGAGUGGCAUCCUCCAUUUCCUCUUCACCGAAGCUGGUGGAAGGGUGUGUCUCCGGCCUCUGGGGCUCCCUGUGGGCAACAGUGGGAUUGGAUCAUGGCAGAGGGCCCGUGGGGCCUGCCUCCCACCGGACACUGGAAGCAGCUCCUUGGCCUCCCUCCUCUCCAUGUCACCCUCUCCCAGGUCCCGGCUGUGUCUGACUCAUUGGCCCCUCAUCCCACCCCUUCACCACCUGACACAGCUGACAGAUGGAUCCCCCACCCCCCACCCCUGGGGCAUGGGCAACUGGACUAACCGGUAUUUCUAG